UACGUAGGGUGCAAGCGUUAAUCGGAAUUACUGGGCGUAAAGCGUGCGCAGGCGGUUUUGUAAGUCUGACGUGAAAUCCCCGGGCUCAACCUGGGAAUUGCGUUGGAGACUGCAAGGCUAGAAUCUGGCAGAGGGGGGGUAGAAUUCCACGUGUAGCAGUGAAAUGCGUAGAGAUGUGGAGGAACACCGAUGGCGAAGGCAGCCCCCCUGGGUCAAGAUUGACGCUCAUGCACGAAAGCGUGGGGAGCAAACAGGAUUAGAAACCCGUAG
rnacentral:rRNA from 1 species